GAUGAACGCUGGCGGCGUGCCUAAUACAUGCAAGUCGAGCGAACAGACGAGGAACUUGCUCCUCUGACGUUAGCGGCGGACGGGUGAGUAACACGUGGAUAACCUACCUAUAAGACUGGGAUAACUUCGGGAAACCGGAGCUAAUACCGGAUAAUAUAUUGAACCGCAUGGUUCAAUAGUGAAAGACGGUUUUGCUGUCACUUAUCGAUGGAUCCGCGCCGCAUUAGCUAGUUGGUAAGGUAACGGCUUACCAAGGCAACGAUGCGUAGCCGACCUGGGAGGGUGAUCGGCCACACUGGAACUGAGACACGGUCCAGACUCCUACGGGAGGCAGCAGUAGGGAAUCUUCCGCAAUGGGCGAAAGCCUGACGGAGCAACGCCGCGUGAGUGAUGAAGGUCUUCGGAUCGUAAAACUCUGUUAUUAGGGAAGAACAAAUGUGUAAGUAACUAUGCACGUCUUGACGGUACCUAAUCAGAAAGCCACGGCUAACUACGUG
rnacentral:rRNA from 1 species